rnacentral:rRNA from 1 species
UACAGAGGUGGCAAGCGUUGUUCGGAAUUACUGGGCGUAAAGGGCGCGUAGGCGGCCUACUAAGUCAGACGUGAAAUCCCCAGGCUUAACUUGGGAACUGCGUCUGAUACUGGAAGGCUUGAGUGCGGGAGAGGGAUGUGGAAUUCCAGGUGUAGCGGUGAAAUGCGUAGAUAUCUGGAGGAACACCGGUGGCGAAGGCGGCAUCCUGGACCGGCAUUGACGCUGAGGCGCGAAAGCUAGGGGAGCAAACGGGG